UUUCAAAUAUAAUUCAGGCCCAGUUGUUUUUCUAUGUUAUCGAUUAAACCUAUGAAUGUCUCUCCUCCGCGCUGUCACGACGCUCCAUCUCCACCGGUUGCUCUUCUCCUUAACUCUUGAUCCAUGCCGUUUCACCAUCUGAUGCCAAUUGAAGUCUUCCAGUCUUCUGGCAAGAACAUCCGCCGUGCGCUUAAGGAUCUCGUCGGAUCUGCUGAUUCUGGCGACGUUCUUGUCGUUCAUUACAGCAGACACGGGACGAGGUUGCCCGCUGAGACUGGUGAAGACAAUGAUACUGGCUACGACGAGUGUAUUGUUCCUUGCACGUGAAUUUAGAGGAGAAUCGAGAAGCAACCCAACACUAAUCGAUGGUCAAUGAUUCAAUCUCUCUUUCGAUGCUCCAAUCUCUUUCUAUUGAUGGUCUCCGACAAUAAAUCCCCAGAAAAAUUCUUAUUUAGAUGAUUUUGUACUAGUGGACAAAAUUUGCCUCAAGGAUUACAAGUUUGUGCGUGGUGAUGUUGUAGUGUUCAGGUAUGUUCCUUAUGCCAAACCACGUUUGACUCAUCCUUUGACAAGAACUAUAUAAUGAGUUUUAGUUGAUUACAUAUGAUGGAUAUGAUGAUGUGGUCUGGCCUCACAAAGAGUUAGCAAGACUGGUCGAUAAAGCUAAUUUAGAAGAAGAAGGAGAAUGACAUGGUGUGGCAAACGGCUUCUCUUUACCAUUUGGUUCACACUGCAGCUCUCCACCGGUUGCUCUCUCCACCAGUUGCUCUUCUCCUUAACUCACAAUCCAUGCCGUUUUACUAUUUGAUGUGAAUUCAAGUCUUCCAGCCCUCUACACUUUCAAUUGGCGUAAGUUUAAGUCCUAUAUAAUGUCAUCUCCUCCAAUUUCAUGCUUCUUAUAAUUUUCUCACGAUUUUAUGCUUCCAGUCCUUUACAUGUCUGUCUUUUUUGUAUUGCAUGCUUUUAAUAUGAUAAUUUGUAUUGAGCAAAACUUUGCAGAGGGCUCACUUGUGAAUUUUGGGAAAAAUGAGUUUUGUUUUCCGGGGAAGUAGAGGUGAUUUAGAAAGCGGAUUCUCUGGUUUUAUACCCGAGAGACGAGCUAUGCGUGUUCAUGGAGCUCGACCAGCUCAUUCUAAUUCCCUCGCUUUUCUGGUUACAGUUCUUUUGCUUGCUGUUUAUGAUUCUCAGUUCACAUCAGAUGCCUCCUAAUUUCCUGCUCUGGCUUGUGCUUGAGGUGUUUUUGAUGGCAACGACCCUUAGGAUGUAUGCCACUUGCCAACAACUUCAAGCUCAGGCUCAAGCUCAUGCUGCUGUAGCAAGUGGUCUCUUUAGUCACACUGAGCUGAGGUUGCAUGUGCCUCCCUCCAUUGCUGUUGCUACAAGAGGACGUCUUCAAGGACUUAGGCUCCAGCUGGCUCUUCUUGAUCGGGAGUUUGAUGACUUAGCAGAUGCAGCAACUGUUGGUUUAACCGUUACUUCAUUGCCAGGAGAGGUCUUCCAUCACUGAAUGAUGUUGGCUUGACAUCCUUCCGCGACCUGGUUUAUCAAGAGGUGCAGUCCAUUGUUAAAGACGCUGUACUUGCACUGAUUCAUAAAAAACGUGAGGGCAACAGAUUGAUAGAGCACUGCUGAAAAACGUAAUAGAUGUCUAUGUUGGGAAUGGAAUGGGAGAGAUGAAUAAAUACGAAGACGACUUUGAAAGUUUCAUUCUUCAAGAUACCGCAUCUUACUAUUCUUGCAAGGCCUCAAGCUGGAUCGAGGAGGAUUCUUGUCAUGAUUACAUGAU